CUAAAUGAAUGAGGGAAUUGGAAAAGGUAUUUUAUGUUAAUAUUGUUGCUUUUGAUACCGCAAUGCUUCCGGAAGCUAAACAGGAUGAUUUGCAGAAUGCAAUAUGGAAGAUCUUCAAGUUCGGGAGUAUGCAAUCUCAGUAGCUGGUAGAUUAUCUGAAAAGAAUCCUGCAUAUGUUUUUCCAGCACUUCGCCGCCACCUAAUUCAGUUGUUAACUUAUCUCAGGCAAAGUGCUGAUAGCAAAUGCCGAGAAGAGAGUGUAAAAUUGUUGGGUUGACUUAUCCGCAGUUGUGAACGUAUUAUACUUGCAUAUAUUGCUCCAAUUAGAUGCCAAAACAAGUCAUAUACAGAUGGAUCAAAGAAAUAGAAAAACGAGUUUACCCAGAAGAGGUCGCUAAAAGCGCGUAUAGUCUUAAACGACUUCUACCCAACGACGAUUUGGGGAUUCUCUCAUCUCUUAGAUCUCGACAAGGAAGCAACUGCGUAUAGUUAUUUUUUUUCAUAAAUGCUUUGAUAAUCUUGACGCUAUUUUGGUUCGAAUUGUAAGAACGCCAGAUUUGGGUUCGUAAUCUGUAGUUACAUAUUGGAAUUUGAAUAAUAUGAACCAUGAAAAUUGAAGA